rnacentral:rRNA from 1 species
UGGGGAAUAUUGCACAAUGGGCGCAAGCCUGAUGCAGCCAUGCCGCGUGUAUGAAGAAGGCCUUCGGGUUGUAAAGUACUUUCAGUCGGGAGGAAGGUGGUAAGGUUAAUAACCUUAUCAAUUGACGUUACCGACAGAAGAAGCACCGGCUAACUCCGUGCCAGCAGCCGCGGUAAUACGGAGGGUGCAAGCGUUAAUCGGAAUUACUGGGCGUAAAGCGCACGCAGGCGGUCUGUCAAGUCGGAUGUGAAAUCCCCGGGCUCAACCUGGGAACUGCAUUCGAAACUGGCAGGCUAGAGUCUUGUAGAGGGGGGUAGAAUUCCAGGUGUAGCGGUGAAAUGCGUAGAGAUCUGGAGGAAUACCGGUGGCGAAGGCGGCCCCCUGGACAAAGACUGACGCUCAGGUGCGAAAGCGUGGGGAGCAAACAG